rnacentral:lncRNA from 1 species
GCGUAUGAGUUAACCCUAGUUUUCUGUUCUGCGAAUUGGUGAUGUUGUGCCAAACACACUAUCCGAUUUUCAUACAUUUGGAUUCGCGGUCCAAUGUGUGAUUGCAUGUGUGGCAUUAUUUUGACUUGCCUGUGUGACAUUGUUUUGAUUUGCCUGUGUGGCAUUAUUUUAGUUGCCUAUGUGGCAUCAUUUGAUUUGCCUGUGUGGCAUUAUUUUGACUUGCCUGUGUGGCAAGGUAUAUUCUGAGCUCAUUCGGUAUAAAAUAACUCCAGCCAUUUGUUUCAGCCUAUUAUUUU